GACGAACGCUGGCGGCGCGCUUAACACAUGCAAGUCGAGCGAUGAAACUUUAACAGAACCCUUCGGGGCGAAGAUAAAGUGGAUUAGCGGCGGACGGGUGAGUAACACGUGAGUAACCUGCCUUAGACAUUGGGAUAGCCUCGGGAAACCGGGAUUAAUACCAAAUAAAAUCAUAAUGACACAUGUCAUAACGAUCAAAACUCCGGUGGUCUAAGAUGGACUCGCGUCCCAUUAGUUAGUUGGUAGAGUAAAAGCCUACCAAGGCGACGAUGGGUAGCCGGCCUGAGAGGGUGAACGGCCACAUUGGAACUGAGAAACGGUCCAAACUCCUACGGGAGGCAGCAGUGGGGAAUAUUGCACAAUGGAGGGAACUCUGAUGCAGCGACGCCGCGUGAACGAAGAAGGCUUUCGAGUCGUAAAGUUCUUUUAUAUGGGAAGAUAAUGACGGUACCAUAAGAAAAAGCCCCGGCUAACUACGUG
rnacentral:rRNA from 1 species